AUGUGAUUAAGUUAAGGAUCUUGAGAUGGGAAGAUUAUUAUCCUGAAUUACCCAGUUGGGCCCAAGGUAAUCACAAGGGUUAUUAGAAGAGGGAAGCAGGAGGGUCAGAGUCAGAGAAGGUAACUUGACAACAGAACGAGGCAUUGGAAUGAUGGGGGUGGAGGGUAGCACACCAGCCCAGGGAUGCAGGCAAGGAAGCUGCAAAAGGCAAGGAGACAGAUUCUUCCCUCGAGCUUCCAGAAGGAACGAGGUGGUCUGCCAGCAGAGUUUAGAGUUCUUACCCCCAGGCUGUAAGAGAAUAUAUUUAGUGCUUUAAGCCACUAAAUUCAUGGAGAUUUGUUACAGCAACAACAGGAGACAAUACAUUGUUUAAAGCCCUCCACAGGUCCUCAGUGGGCCAACUCCUUCUCACUCCAUGCCUCUUCUCUCUCAUCUCUCCACACUGAACUUGAAGCUCCGGUCAUGCUAAACCACAUCCAAUUCCAAAAAUGCCAAGCUCCUUAAUACUGUACUUGAACAUUUGCUUCCCCCAAACAUGUCGGCUUGAGGAACACCAGUUUAUCCUGGAAAGAAAUCCAAACGUCACUCCUUAAUACCUAGAGAUGGAACCAAUUCUCUCCUCUGUAAUGGAACUUGGAUAUAUAUAUAUACACUGUUGUUCUCAUCACGUUCUGCUAUAAAUAUGUGAAGCCCACAGCUACAACCCAUUCAUCUUUAUACCCCAGGGCCCAUUCACAGUGCCUGGUCCAGAGUAAAUGCCCAAUAAAAGUUAGUUGAAUUGAACUAAACCCUGAGUAGUUGGCUGGAAAGCUGUAGAUGUAUUCCCAAAUGCCACCUUUAAAGAAAAGCAUUUAAGAUAGUCCUAUUUUAUAACUUCCAGCAGAUCCUAUAUCACUGCUGUUUUCCCAUGUAUCCUCAGUGAUAACAAAUUCCCACCCAUCCUUUUGAAAGGUUUGGAUUUAGGAGGUAAAAAAAACAAACGAAUACUAUACAAAGAUAUCUACUAACCAAGGAGGACGAUCCAGCCAUAAAGUAUGAUUUUAGAUCGAAAUGAGUCAAAGCUAUCAUGUGAAAUGACUCGUAAACCAGCUCUGAUGGCAUUGACAAUAUACAAGUUCUGGUAUUUUAGUCUCUUAAAGCCUAUAAAGUAUUUAUGAUUAUAUUAUCAAAGUAUACUAUUCACCCAAAAAGCUGAAAACAUGACUCUCCUACAAAACAGAAUGAAUGCACGUGAAAGGAUGUAUCGAGCUCAUGAGUGAAUGAGGAAAACAGUAAGUUGGUAAACUGGCUCAAAGAGCAUUGGAAAUUUAAUAAAAGGCUGUUAAAACAGUUUGUUAAAUUAGAUACGGAACUGGUUAGUGCCCUGUAAGGCACCAAACCAAAACCUUUACGGUUACCUUAUCUGCUUAACAAAGAUGAUUUCUAGCAAACCAUCUACCUACAAACCCACAAGUCAAUGUAUAACUUCACAUAGUUCGAGCCCUUAAUUAUUGAUAGACAACAAAGUCAAUAAACAGUACCCUCUCCCAGAAAAGGAAAUAAACCGAGAGAGGAUAUGUGGUUAUCCUUAUAGUCUAAUAUACAGGUUUUUGAUAACUUUUUCAAUAGUAUUUUAAAAAAUAGAUGACAAAGAUGGCAUCUGACUAGUACCACAAAACUUCAGAGGAAGUAAAACACACUGGGAAAAUGUGGAGAUUCACAUAGAACUGGGCCUUAAAGAAGAAAAGGACAAGUAGACAUCAAUAGGCUUUAAGUAUCAUUUUACAAUACAUUAAGACCAAAUUUUUCUCCAAAGAAAGGACUCUAAUAAUUUUAAUACGAAAACAAUUUAAAGAGAUUUAGAAAUUCACUUUACUUUUCCAGAGCUAUGACUAUUCUGAAAAUCAAGGUAUAGCUGUAGCUCCUGUUGCCAAACUCUGAAUCCAGAAUUCUCUUCCACCUGCAGGCCAGUGCACCUGUGUCACCACCACCAGCGCUAGCCCCUGGCAAUCCCCCACCCUUUUCUCCCCCUAUUGCGCCUGCACUUCAACCACACCAAACAACUUUUCACUGGCCACAUAGGACGCGGCCUCUCUUUACCUCUUUACCGUUGUGCAACUACGUAUGUGUGUGUGAGAGCGCAUGCGCAUGUGUGCUCUACGAGAAUCUCAGAAGAGAUGCUACUUGAACGUUAGAGGAGUAACGGGGGAACUACAACACUAAAAGGAAGCUCCAGGGAGAUGAAGAUGAACAGAAGAAAGAAAACAAUGAUUGAAAGCUUGGGGCAAGACGCUGGAGGGCAUCUGUGACGAGCAAAAAGUACUGAGUUCUGUCAAGUUCACACGAAACGGAAAUUCACAGAAGUCAACACUUCCAAUCAAUGCAAAUGAUCUUGAUGGAGAAAUUGACAAGAUUUACUGAGGGAUGUAUCCAGGCGCCUUCUCUUGUCAGGCCAUAGAAUCCCCAAGCUCUGUGAUCUGUCAUUAAACUAACUGGGGGACCCAGGAAUUGGUGCUGGGGCAAGGUCAGGAACAGAAAAAAAAAGUUUAAGACAGGAUAAAAGAGCAAUUUUAAAAUCAUUACUUUUUAACAAUGAACACAGCUAUUAUUCUGAACCCCAAAUCAUGGAUGUGAUUGUCAAAAAGACAAAAGAAUAGCAGGAUAAACUGUUGAAACCAAUCUCUUUAUAGUAGAUAGUAAAAAUCUCAUUGCAAUUCAAAAGAUAAAUGGCAAUUAAGUAGUUUCUGUUAAGUGUUUAUUGUUCACCUUUUAUGUGGGUGGCCUUUUAAGUGAUUUUCUUUUUAAAGGAAAAGAAAGUUUGUUCUCUCCACCAUUUGAACCAAACAUGAUGCAAAUGCAUGCAACCAUCAAUUUUAAAAUAAUAAUCGUCUUGAUUUUCUAAGCCGAUAAACCAACCACCAUGCACCACUUCCUUUUCAGGCGGUUGUUUGCUUGGCUUAUCACGGUUAACUAUUGCACUGUGACUCUGCAUGAAGACGGUAAUGUAAUUAAAUCCUAUUAACACAUCAGGAAUAAAGCCCUUUAAUGGGCACACAAGGCUUUGAGAGGCAGCUCGUUCCUGAGCAGAUUUAAUAUCCUUAAAUUAAGCAAGUGUGAAUGGGAAGAUGAAUCUUAUUAAAAACUUAAAUCUGA